rnacentral:lncRNA from 1 species
UGUGGCACGACAGACGUUCAAUUGCACCAGGAUGAAGCUGUUUUCGCUGUUGAUGGCUCUGGUUGUGGCCCUGUCUGGCCUCCUGGGUUCAGCUCGUGCCAUGCCUGACCCCUACCCUGUGGCUGACCCCGUGGCUAACCCUGACCCCGUGGCUGACCCCUGGUUCUUCAAACGCAAAUACUACUACCCCCGCCGUCACUACUACCCAAGCUACCACCACUACCAUCACUGGUGAAGAAGAGGAAACCUUUUUUUCUAUCUGGAAAACAUUAAUUACCACAACCAGUAAAAAUAUCCUUCAGUGACCUUACAAACCGAUGUCCUAAUCUAACCUAAUCUCCAUGUCUCCUUAAACUUACAGUAUAAUAAAAUCCAGUUAGAUA